rnacentral:rRNA from 1 species
GGAGAGUUCGAUCCUGGCUCAGGAUGAACGCUGGCGGUAUGCUUAACACAUGCAAGUCUUACUAUAAAUUUAGUGGCGAACGGGUGAGUGAUGCGUAAGAAUCUACCCCUAAGUACGGGGGAGAAAACAGUGGGAAACUAUUGCUAAUAUCCCAUAUAGGCUGAAAAGUUAAAAGAAUAAUAAUUCUCUACAGGGAAGAGCUUACGUCUGAUUAGCUAGUUGGUAAGAUAAUAGCUUACCAAGGCUGUGAUCGGGAGCUAGUUCGAGAGGAUGAUUAGCCACAUUGGAACUGAGACAAGGUCCAGACUUCUAUGGGAGGCAGCAGUGGGGAAUUUUCCGCAAUGAGCGAAAGCUUGACGGGGCAAUACCGCGUGAAGGUAGAAGGCCUACGGGUCGUAAACUUCUUUUACCAAAAAAGAAAACUAACAGUAUUUGGGGAAUAAGUAUCGGCUAACUUUGUGCCAGCAGCCGCGGUAAUACAAAGGAUGCAAGCGUUAUCCGGAAUGAUUGGGCGUAAAGAGUCUGUAGGUAACUUUUUAAGUCUGACGUCAAAUACCUAGGCUCAACCGAGGAAAGGCAUCAGAAACUAAAAAGCUUGAGUAUAUUAAAGGAAGAGGGAAUUUCUGAAGGAGCGAUGAAAUGCAUAGAUAUCAGAAAGAACGCCGAAGGUGAAAACGCUCUUCUGUAUUGAUACUGACAUUGAGAGACGAAAGCUAGGGUAGCAAAUGGGAUUAGAGACCCCAGUAGUCCUAGCUGUAAACGAUGGAUAUUAAGUAUUGUGUGUAUUGAUCCAUUCAGUACUACAACUAACGUGUUAAAUAUCCCGCCUGGGGAGUACGUUCGCAAGAAUGAAACUCAAAGGAAUUGACGGGGGUCUGCACAAGCGGUGGAGCAUGUGGUUUAAUUCGAUGCAAAGCGAAGAACCUUACCAGGGCUUGACAUGAUCGUGAAUCUUUUUGAAAAUUAAGAGUGCCUUAGGGAACGCGAACACAGGUGGUGCAUGGCUGUCGUCAGCUCGUGCCGUCAGGUGUUGAGUUAAGUCCCGCAACGAGCGCAACCCUUAUGUUUAGUUACCUUUUUGGAACUCUAAACAGACUGCUAGAAAUAAUCUGGAGGAAGGAGAGGAUUACGUCAAGUCAUCAUGCCCCUUAUGCCCUGGGCAACACACGUGCUACAAUGGUCGAGACAAAGAAUAAUUCGUGAACUUGCAAGAGUAAACUAAUUUCAAAAACUCGAUCACAGUUCGAAUUGCAGGCUGAAACUCGCCUGCAUGAAGUAGGAAUCGCUAGUAAUCGCCGGUCAGCUAUACGGCGGUGAAUACGUUACCGGGCCUUGUACACACCGCCCGUCACACUCUGAAAGUUAUCCCUGUCCUAAAUCAAAAAAUGAUUAAGACAGAGUUAGUGAUUAGAGUGAAGUCGUAACAAGGUAGCUGUACUGGAAGGUGUAGCUGGAUCAACCUCCUUAAUAAAUUUAUGGAGAUUUAUAAAAAUUUUUCCUAGAUCAAAAAUUCAAAAAAACAAAUAUAAAUAUUAUAAUAACUUAUGGUGGAUACCUAGGCACUCAGAGAUGAUGAAGGGCGUUUUUAAACCGAAAAGUUGCGGGGAAAAAUAAAAUAUAGAUCCGUAGAUUCCCUAAUAAGUAAACUUUUUUAAAACCCCGAUGUUAAAAUAAAAGGGAGAUAACCUGGAAAACUGAAACAUCUUAGUAUCCAGAGGAAAAAAAAAUAAAAAUGAUUCCCUUAGUAGUGGCGAGCGAAAAGGGAAAAUARSCCUAUWWUUYUUACUAUAGAAAUUACAUAUAAUUUUAUACAUAUGUAUUUUGUACUGUGCUAGGUGAAACAAUAUUAUAGAAUACUGUAUCUUAGAUGGUGAAAAUCCAGUAACCAUUAGCAUAAAAAUUUUAUAAAAAAUAAUCUAAAUAAUUUAUUUAUUUAUUUAAUUUAUUUAUUUAAAAGUAACAUGGGACACGUGCAAUCCCGUGUGAGUUUAACAAGGACCACCUUGUAAGGCUAAAUACUACUGUGGACC